UACGGAGGGGGCGAGCGUUAUUCGGAAUUAUUGGGCGUAAAGGGCGCGUAGGCGGCUCUAUAAGUCAAAGGUGAAAUCCCUCGGCUCAACUGAGGAACUGCCUUUGAAACUGUUGGGCUUGAGGCCGGGAGAGGGUAGUGGAAUUCCCAGUGUAGCGGUGAAAUGCGUAGAUACUGGGAGGAACACCAGAUGCGAAGGCGGGUCACUGGGCUGAUACUGACGCUGAUGCGCGAAAGCCAGGGGAGCGAACGGG
rnacentral:rRNA from 1 species